AAAUUAAUCUCCCCGUGAAGAAGCGGGGAUACUCAUAUAAGACGAGAAGACCCCAUGGAGCUUCAAACCCAACUACACCCCUAGCUCUUAUAGCCCCACAACCCCCCUAGGCACCGUGUGCUUGGUUUUAGGUUGGGGCGACCGCGGAGUACAAUAAAACCUCCACAAUGAAUGGGAACACCCCCUUAUCUGAGGGCCACACCCCCUAAGAAUUAGAACACUAACAUAAAAUGAUCCAUUACUUGAUCAAUGAACCAAGUUACCCUGGGGAUAACAGCGCAAUCCAUUUCAAGAGCCCCUAUCGACAAAUGGGUUUACGACCUCGAUGUUGGAUCAGGGUACCCCAGUGGUGCAGCAGCUACUAACGGUUCGUUUGUUCAACGAUUAAAACCCU
rnacentral:rRNA from 1 species